rnacentral:tRNA from 1 species
GGGAAUGUGGCUCAGUGAUAGAGUGCUUGCCUAGUAUGCAUGAAGCCCUGGGUUUGAUUCCUCAGUACCA